rnacentral:sRNA from 1 species
GACCUGUUGCCGAACAGUCACCCAACGGUGUGCGUUCCGUUCAUUUCAGACGGAUAGGCGCAGGUCUUUA